UACGUAGGUGGCAAGCGUUGUCCGGAUUUACUGGGCGUAAAGAGCGCGCAGGCGGUCGUUCAAGUCGCGUGUGAAAGCCCCCGGCUCAACUGGGGAGGGUCACGCGAUACUGAUCGACUCGAAGGCAGGAGAGGGUAGUGGAAUUCCCGGUGUAGUGGUGUAAAUGCGUAGAUAUCCGGAGGAACACCAGUGGCGAAGGCGACUUCCUGGCCUGUUCUUGACGCUGAGGCGCGAAAGCUGGGGAGCGAACGGGG
rnacentral:rRNA from 1 species